rnacentral:lncRNA from 1 species
AAAAGAAAAAAAGAAAAAAGAAUAAUUACAAGAAAAUGAAAAAGAAAAAAAGAAAAUAGAAUAAUUACAAGACAAUGAAAAUGAGACCGUAUGUAUUAAAGGAAACUAACCCAAUCAUUUAUCUAGUGUUACAUUAGCACCAACUUUAUUAUUGUGAGAUCCUCAUAAUCCUAACAAACAUCUUAAUCUCAUCAAAACAAUAUGAAAAACCCUAUCAUAAUCCUUGGUGAUGCAAGUAUAAAAUUGAAAAUAAGAGGAAACACAGAUGAAUAGAGUGACAAAAUAAACAAGUUAGAGAUGUGUAACCUUCAAAAGACUAACCUAUAUCAGAAAUCAAUUGUUUCGUACAUUUGAUAGAUAAGAAAGAAAAUUACUCAUAAAAGAUAGAAAAAAAAGGAAAAAAUGACAAUUUUUCUGCAGUACGUAUUUUUUUACCCUUUGUAUUUUGUUUAUACAAUCAUAGAGUGAUUAUGAACCAGAGAUUUCUAUUAAAUAUUUUAAGCUAAAUGAUUAUAUUAAGUAAAUCCUCAGUUAUAUAAAUCAAUCAAACAUUUAUUGAGUAACAAACCUAGACAUUAAUUAGUCUAUAAAGAUAUGUAUUGAACAUCAAAAUUAAUUAAAUAUAUACUUAUAUGCUAAAGAACAUAAAAUGUCAUCUUCUAUAUUCUGAUAAUUAAACGAUUAACAUAAGUUAUAUAGAUUAAAAUAUAUGCUAAAAUACUAAUUAUAAGUAGAAAAUGAAAAAGAAAAAAAGAAAAAAGAGUAAUUACAAGAAAAUGAAAAAGAAAAAAAGAAAAUAGAAUAAUUACAAGACAAUGAAAAUGAGACCAUAUGUAUUAAAGGAAACAAACCCAAUCAUUUUUCUAGUGUUAAAUUAGCACCAACUUUAUUAUUGUGAGAUCCUCAUAAUCCUAACAAACAUCUCAAUCUCAUCAAAACAAUACGAAAAACCCUAUCAUAAUCAUUGGUGAUGCAAGAAUAAAAUUGAAAAUAAGAGGAAACACAGAUGAAUAGAGUGACAAAAUAAACAAGUUAGAGAAAGGUAACCUUCAAAAGAUUAACCUAUAUCAGAAAUCAAUUGUUCUGUACAUUUGAUAGAUAAGAUAGAAAAUUACUCAUAAAAGAUAGAAAAAAAAAGGAAAAUAUGACAAUUUUUCAGCAGUACGUAUUUUUUUACCCUUUGUAUUUUUUUUAUACAAUCAUAAAGUGAUUAUGAACCAGAGAUUUCUAUUAAAUAUUGUAAGCUAAAUAUUUAUAUUAAGUAAAUCCUCAAUUAUAUAAAUCAAUCAAAAAUUUAGUGAGUAACAAACCUUGAAAUUAAUUAAUUUAGAAUGAUAUGUAUUGAACAUCAAAAUUAAUUAAAUAUAUACUUAUAUCCUAAAGAACAUAAAAUGUCAUCUUUUAUAUUCUGAUAAUUAAACGAUUAACAUAAGUUAUAUAGAUUAAAAAAUAUGCUAAAAUACUAAUUAUAAGUAGAAAAAGAAAAAGAAAAAAAGAAAAAAGAAUAAUUACAAGAAAAUGAAAAAGAAAAAAAGAAAAAUGAAUAAUUACAAGACAAUGAAAAUGAGACCGUAUAUAUUAAAGGAAACCAACCCAAUCAUUUAUCUAGUGUUACAUUAGCACUAACUUUAUUAUUGUGAGAUCCUCAUAAUCCUAACAAACAUCUUAAUCUCAUCAAAACAAUAUGAAAAACCCUAUCAUAAUCAAUGGUGAUGCAAGAAUAAAAUUGAAAAUAAGAGGAAACACAGAUGAAUAGAGUGACAAAAUAAACAAGUUAGAGAUGUGUAACCUUCAAAAGAUUAACCUAUAUCAGAAAUCAAUUGUUCCGUACAUUUGAUAGAUAAGAAAGAAAAUUACUCAUAAAAGAUAGAAAAAAAAGGAAAAUAUGACAAUUUUUCAGCAGUACGUAUUUUUGUACCCUUUGUAUUUUGUUUAUACAAUCAUAAAGUGAAUAUGAACCAGAGAUUUCUAUUAAAUAUUGUAUGCAAAAUAAUUAAAUUAAGUAAAUCCUCAAAUAUAUAAAUAAAUCAAACAUUUAUUGAGUAACAAACCUUGACAUUAGUUAGUUUAGAAAGAUAUGUAUUGAAAAUCAAAAUUAAAUAAAUAUAUACUUAUAUCCUAAAGAACAUAAAAUGUCAUCUUUUAUUUUUUGAUAAUUAAACGAUUAACAUAAGUUAUAUUGAUUAAAAAAUAUGCUAAAAUACUAAGUAUAAGUAGAAAAUGAAAAAGAAAAAAAAAGAAAAAAGAAUAAUUAUAAGAAAAUGAAAAAGAAAAAAAUAAAAUAGAAUAAUUACAAGACAAUGAAAAUGAGACCGUAUGUAUUAAAGGAAACCAAUCCAAUCAUUUUUCUAGUGUUACAUUGGCACCAACUUUAUUAUUGUGAGAUCCUCAUAAUCCUAACAAACAUCUCAAUCUCAUCAAAACAAUACGAAAAACCCUAUCAUAAUCAUUGGUGAUGCAAGAAUAAAAU